UACGGAGGGUGCGAGCGUUAUCCGGAAUUACUGAGUUUAAAGGGUGCGUAGGCGGCUAUGUAAGUCAGGAGUGAAAGUUUGCGGCUCAACCGUAAAAUUGCUUUUGAUACUGCAUGGCUGGAAUUAGGAUGAGGUCAGCGGAAUGUGGCAUGUAGCGGUGAAAUGCAUAGAUAUGCCAUAGAACACCAAUUGCGAAGGCAGCUGGCUAGACCUGGAUUGACGCUGAGGCACGAAAAGCGUGGGGGAGCGAAACAGG
rnacentral:rRNA from 1 species